rnacentral:lncRNA from 1 species
CACGUGACUCCAACAUUACGUAAUUGUUACUUUUCUCAACCGGGGGGUGAAUAGGUGAAACUCGAAGACAAACAGUUUUUAUCUCCGAAAUUCUUCAAUCUUCCCUGUGAAUUUUGCAUUUCAAGCUUUUCUCAAAGUACGGCGAUCGAUCAAAUGGAUCAAUACUUUCUGUAGAAAAAACUCAGUGAGAUUUGUUCGUAUGAGACGUUUAAAAGACUUGGAUAUGUCGCUAAAGACGCUCGAUCAUUGCACAGGUUUAUGGUUUAGUACUUUGUUCAGUUUGUUGCGACUUGCGAAGCAAAUGAAUGCAAAUUCAACUCUUGUAUAAUGACUAAAAGUUGGUUUGUAGAGAGACAACUUAUACAAAAGAUAUGAAUACAUUAGCUUCAAACUAGGGGCAAGUUCAUGGACAUCCCUAAUAUAUGGACAUUGAUAUUUCACCAAUAUGUAAAUAUGACUAUUAAAUAUAUAAAAGGAUUGCUGUUGUAUUACU